rnacentral:rRNA from 1 species
UAACACGUAUCCAACCUGCCGUCUACUCUUGGCCAGCCUUCUGAAAGGAAGAUUAAUCCAGGAUGGCAUCAUGAGUUCACAUGUCCGCAUGAUUAAAGGUAUUUUCCGGUAGACGAUGGGGAUGCGUUCCAUUAGAUAGUAGGCGGGGUAACGGCCCACCUAGUCAACGAUGGAUAGGGGUUCUGAGAGGAUGAACGGCCACAUUGGGACUGAGACACGGCCCAG